rnacentral:rRNA from 1 species
GACGAACGCUGGCGGCGUGCUUAACACAUGCAAGUCGAACGAUGAAGCAAAGAAUUGAAGCUUCGGCAGAAAUUCAUUUCGGAUUAGUGGCAGACGGGUGAGUAACGCGUGAGCAACCUACCUCUUACAAAGGGAUAGCCUCGGGAAACCGGGAUUAAUACCAUAUAACAUUGCGACGAAGCAUUUCGAUGCAAUCAAAGCUACGGCGGUAAGAGAUGGGCUCGCGUCCCAUUAACCAGAUGGUGAGGUAACGGCUCACCAUAGUAACGAUGGGUAACCGGCCUGAGAGGGUGAACGGUCACACUGGAACUGAGACACGGUCCAGACUCCUACGGGAGGCAGCAGUGGGGAAUAUUGCACAAUGGAGGGAACUAUGAUGCAGCGACGCCGCGUGAGUGAUGAAGGAAUUCGAUUCGUAAAACUCUGUUCUAUGGGAAGAAAAGGACUGUACCAUAGGAGAAAGCGCCGGCUAAAUACGUG